rnacentral:rRNA from 1 species
GACGAACGCUGGCGGCGUGCUUAACACAUGCAAGUCGAACGGAAAGGCCCUGCUUUUGUGGGGUGCUCGAGUGGCGAACGGGUGAGUAACACGUGAGUAACCUGCCCUUGACUUUGGGAUAACUUCAGUAAACUGGGGCUAAUACCGGAUAGGAGCUCCUGCUGCAUGGUGGGGGUUGGAAAGUUUCGGCGGUUGGGGAUGGACUCGCGGCUUAUCAGCUUGUUGGUGGGGUAGUGGCUUACCAAGGCUUUGACGGGUAGCCGGCCUGAGAGGGUGACCGGCCACAUUGGGACUGAGAUACGGCCAAGACUCCUACGGGAGGCAGCAGUGGGGAAUAUUGCAAAAUGGGCGGAAGCCUGAUGCAGCAACGCCGCGUGCGGGAUGACGGACUUCGGGUUGUAAACCGCUUUCGCCUGUGACGAAGCGUGAGUGACGGUAAUGGGUAAAGAAGCACCGGCUAACUACGUG